AACCACAAGGGGCGUCGCUACAAAGCGGCUGAGAUAGUACCCUUAGAACCUGUAAGUUCAUACUUGCGUAGGGAUGUGGAU
rnacentral:ncRNA from 1 species